rnacentral:rRNA from 1 species
CCUACGGGAGGCAGCAGUGGGGAAUCUUGCGCAAUGGGCGAAAGCCUGACGCAGCAACGCCGCGUGGGGGAUGAAGGCUCUCGGGUUGUAAACCCCUUUCAGCAGGGACGAAAUUGACGGUACCUGAAGAAGAAGCCCCGGCCAACUACGUGCCAGCAGCCGCGGUGACACGUAGGGGGCGAGCGUUGUCCGGAAUUAUUGGGCGUAAAGAGCUCGUAGGCGGUUUAGUAAGUCAGAUGUGAAAGGUUGGGGCUCAACCCUAAGGCUGCAUCCGAUACUGCUAUGACUAGAGUCCGGUAGAGGAGUGUGGAAUUCCUGGUGUAGCGGUGAAAUGCGCAGAUAUCAGGAGGAACACCGACGGCGAAGGCAGCACUCUGGGCCGGUACUGACGCUCAGGAGCGAAAGCGUGGGUAGCAAACAGGAUUAGAUACCCUGGUAGUCCACGCCGUAAACGUUGGGCACUAGGUGUGGGGCCUUAUCAACGGGUUCCGUGCCGUAGCUAACGCAUUAAGUGCCCCGCCUGGGGAGUACGGCCGCAAGGCUAAAACUCAAAUGAAUUGACGG